UUCGCUACAAAUAACAAUCGCCAACGUCGACAAAAACAUAGCAUCUUCGGUGUAAUCAUGCUAAGAACAUUAGGCUCCGCAGCUAAGUCUCCAAAUUUACGGAACAAAUUACGGAUGUCUCCAUAGCGGAGCCAACGGAGCGCUAAAAGCGUUAAAUUUCGAGCGGGAGAACGGAAGAACGAAUUAUGGAUGCCCGGAAUCGGUACAGAGGAUACCCUGACCGAAGGCGAACGAAGGAUCCGGGGAUAUUAGGAAUUCGACGAAGAAAAAUUUGGACCAAAUUACAGGGACGCCGGCCGCUGGUUGUUCCGAGGUAAUUAAUAGCGACGGUGAUCAAUCAGGCGGAAACAUUCAUCGAUCGUCGGCCAGGUGGCUCGGAGAGCCGAGGGUGCCGGCGAACGAGCCUAAAAGAACACAGCGGCGGAAAGUGCGGCGGCGGAGAAAUGGUGGUGAAAGCAAGCAACAGGGACGACGCGAUCGGUCGCCGAAGGUGCUAAACGAACGGUGCGCGAUGGUCGUGUUGCUGGAUGGACGGUUGCUGUGCUGAAACAUGGAUCUCUCUCGCGAACGCAACAGAUUCCCUCGCUUACGUCACGUCGCGGCUCUAAUUGGACAACCGAAAGGAUGGAAUUCAUUCUUCAUUCGCGAGGACGGACGUUGUCGGCGGCAGUUAACGUUAGGAAAACACAAUUUGCCGGUUCCGGACGAGGCUCGCGAUGAAAUGCGAUCGGGAGACACGGACACCGCGCCGAGGACUACUCUCGGGGUAACUUGCGACAGAUAGCCCGGGUUAUCGGAAUACAAGGGGCUCGCUCGCGUUCCGAUGCUCGCCCACCGCCGAAGAAAUGAUGGCGGCGCGCCCGAGGGUCAACACUUUGCACUCGAGGC